GUGUGACGAUGCAGAUGACGAUAACGACGACGAUGAUAAUCAUCAUCAUCAUCAUCAUCAUCUAUGCAU
rnacentral:miRNA from 1 species